UACGUAGGGCGCAAGCGUUAUCCGGAAUUAUUGGGCGUAAAGAGCUCGUAGGCGGUUUGUUGCGUCUGCCGUGAAAGUCCGGGGCUCAACUCCGGAUCUGCGGUGGGUACGGGCAGACUAGAGUGAUGUAGGGGAGACUGGAAUUCCUGGUGUAGCGGUGAAAUGCGCAGAUAUCAGGAGGAACACCGAUGGCGAAGGCAGGUCUCUGGGCAUUAACUGACGCUGAGGCGCGAAAGCUAGGGGAGCAAACAGG
rnacentral:rRNA from 1 species